rnacentral:rRNA from 1 species
UUGAACGCUGGCGGCAGGCUUAACACAUGCAAGUCGAGCGGAGUGAUGGUGCUUGCACUAUCACUUAGCGGCGGAACGGGUGAGUAAUGCUUAGGAAUCUGCCUAUUAGUGGGGGACAAACAUUUCGAAAGGAAUGCUAAUACCGCAUACGUCCUACGGGAGAAAGCAGGGGAUCUUCGGACCUUGCGCUAAUAGAUGAGCCUAAGUCGGAUUAGCUAGUUGGUGGGGUAAAGGCCUACCAAGGCGACGAUCUGUAGCGGGUCUGAGAGGAUGAUCCGCCACACUGGGACUGAGACACGGCCCAGACUCCUACGGGAGGCAGCAGUGGGGAAUAUUGGACAAUGGGCGGAAGCCUGAUCCAGCCAUGCCGCGUGUGUGAAGAAGGCCUUAUGGUUGUAAAGCACUUUAAGCGAGGAGGAGGCUACUUUAGUUAAUACCUAGAGAUAGUGGACGUUACUCGCAGAAAAAGCACCGGCUAACUCUGUGCCAGCAGCCGCGGUAAUACAGAGGGUGCAAGCGUUAAUCGGAUUUACUGGGCGUAAAGCGCGCGUAGGCGGCUAAUUAAGUCAAAUGUGAAAUCCCCGAGCUUAACUUGGGAAUUGCAUUCGAUACUGGUUAGCUAGAGUGUGGGAGAGGAUGGUAGAAUUCCAGGUGUAGCGGUGAAAUGCGUAGAGAUCUGGAGGAAUACCGAUGGCGAAGGCAGCCAUCUGGCCUAACACUGACGCUGAGGUGCGAAAGCAUGGGGAGCAAACAGGAUUAGAUACCCUGGUAGUCCAUGCCGUAAACGAUGUCUACUAGCCGUUGGGGCCUUUGAGGCUUUAGUGGCGCAGCUAACGCGAUAAGUAGACCGCCUGGGGAGUACGGUCGCAAGACUAAAACUCAAAUGAAUUGACGGGGGCCCGCACAAGCGGUGGAGCACGUGGUUUAAUUCGAUGCAACGCGAAGAACCUUACCUGGCCUUGACAUAGUAAGAACUUUCCAGAGAUGGAUUGGUGCCUUCGGGAACUUACAUACAGGUGCUGCAUGGCUGUCGUCAGCUCGUGUCGUGAGAUGUUGGGUUAAGUCCCGCAACGAGCGCAACCCUUUUCCUUAUUUGCCAGCGAGUAAUGUCGGGAACUUUAAGGAUACUGCCAGUGACAAACUGGAGGAAGGCGGGGACGACGUCAAGUCAUCAUGGCCCUUACGGCCAGGGCUACACACGUGCUACAAUGGUCGGUACAAAGGGUUGCUACCUAGCGAUAGGAUGCUAAUCUCAAAAAGCCGAUCGUAGUCCGGAUUGGAGUCUGCAACUCGACUCCAUGAAGUCGGAAUCGCUAGUACUCGCGGAUCAGAAUGCCGCGGUGAAUACGUUCCCGGGCCUUGUACACACCGCCCGUCACACCAUGGGAGUUUGUUGCACCAGAAGUAGCUAGCCUAACUGCAAAGAGGGCGGUUACCACGGUGUGGCCGAUGACUGGGGUG